rnacentral:rRNA from 1 species
CGAAUGCUGACAUAAGUAACGAUAAAGCGGGUGAAAAGCCCGCUCGCCGGAAGACCAAGGGUUCCUGUCCAACGUUAAUCGGGGCAGGGUGAGUCGACCCCUAAGGCGAGGCCGAAAGGCGUAGUCGAUGGGAAACAGGUUAAUAUUCCUGUACUUGGUGUUACUGCGAAGGGGGGACGGAGAAGGCUAUGUUGGCCGGGCGACGGUUGUCCCGGUUUAAGCGUGUAGGCUGGUUUUCCAGGCAAAUCCGGAAAAUCAAGGCUGAGGCGUGAUGACGAGGCACUACGGUGCUGAAGCAACAAAUGCCCUGCUUCCAGGAAAAGCCUCUAAGCAUCAGGUAACAUCAAAUCGUACCCCAAACCGACACAGGUGGUCAGGUAGAGAAUACCAAGGCGCUUGAGAGAACUCGGGUGAAGGAACUAGGCAAAAUGGUGCCGUAACUUCGGGAGAAGGCACGCUGAUAUGUAGGUGAAGUCCCUCGCGGAUGGAGCUGAAAUCAGUCGAAGAUACCAGCUGGCUGCAACU